rnacentral:misc_RNA from 1 species
CCCUUCCUGCUGUAGCCGGCAUCUUGAAAUAUGGAGAUCAAACUGUCGGGUGGGGAGAAUCUUCAAAUCGACGAGCAAAAGCAACGAGAAAAAAGAAGCUGAGAAAGAGAAGAAGAGCGCUCUCUCAUCUAGAUGGCUUUUGCCUAUAUAAAUUCAAAUUGGACUUACUGAGGUCGGUGAGCCUAGGAUUAUCUAAAAUGAAACCCAAUAACCAUCCGAACGGUUU